AGAGUUUGAUCCUUGCUCAGGAUGAACGCUGGCGGCAUGCCUAACACAUGCAAGUUUAACGAUUUUAUGUUGAAUAUUAUAGUAACGGACGGGUGAGUAAUGUGUAAGAAUCUACGUUUGGGAAAGGGAUAACAGAUGGAAACGUUUGCUAAUACCUUAUUUUGCAGUCAUGUUAAAGUUUUAUCGCCCAGACACGAGCUUGCAUUUGAUUAGUUAGUUGGUGGGGUAAUAGCUUACCAAGACUGUGAUCAAUAGCUAAUUUGAGAGGACGAUUAGCCACACUGGGACUGAGACACGGAACAGACUUCUACGGAAGGCAGCAGUGGGGAGUAUUUCGCAAUGGGUGAAAGCCUGACGAAGCAAUGCCGCGUGGAGGAAGAAGGCUUUAGAGUUGUAAACUCCUUUUCUCAAUGAAGAAGAUAUGACGGUAUUUGAGGAAUAAGCAUCGGCCAAUUUCGUGCCAGCAGCCGCGGUAAUACGAGAGAUGCAAGCGUUAUCCGGAAUUAUUGGGCGUAAAGAGUUCGUAGGUUGUUAAGUGUGUUUAGUGUUAAAUGGUAAAGCUUAACUUUAUUUAGGCAUUAAAAACUACUUAACUUGAAUAUGGUAGAGGCAAAGGGAAUUCUCAGUGUAGCGGUGAAAUGCGUAGAUAUUGGGAAGAACACCGGUGGCGAAAGCGCUUUGCUAGGUUUAUUAUUGACACUGAGGAACGAAAGCUAAGGGAGCAAAUAAGAUUAGAUACCUUAGUAGUCUUAGCAGUAAAUGUUGGAUAUUAAGUGGUAUUUUUAGUACUGCUGUAGUUAACACGAUAAAUAUCCCGCCUGGGAAGUAUGCUUGCAAAAGUGAAACUCAAAGGAAUUGACGGGGGCCCGCACAAGCAGUGGAGCAUGUGGUUUAAUUCGAUGGUACACGAAAAAUCUUACCAAGGCUUGACAUGUCAGGAAAUUAUUGAAAGAUAAUGUGCCUUUUGGAACCUGAACACAGGUGGUGCAUGGCUGUCGUCAGCUCGUGUUGUGAAAUGUUGGGUUAAGUCCCGCAACGAGCGCAACCCUCGUCUUUAGUUGUUUAUUUUGUUUCUAAAGAUACUGCCGGUUAUAAAUCGGAGGAAGGUGGGGAUGAGGUCAAGUCAUCAUGCCCUUUAUGCCUUGGGCUACACACGUGCUACAAUGGUUAAGACAAUAAGUUGCGAGUCUGCGAAGAUUAGCUAAUCUUACAAACUUAAUCUAAGUUCGGAUUGUAGGCUGUAACUCGCCUACAUGAAGCUGGAAUUGCUAGUAAUCGCCAAUCAGAUAUGUGGCGGUGAAUACGUUCUCGGGCCUUGUACACACCGCCCGUCACACCAUGGAAGCUGGUUAUACCUGAAGAUAUUAUCCUAACAUUUGGGGGAGGUAUCUAAGGUCCAAUUAGUGACUGGGGUGAAGUCGUAACAAGGUAGCCGUACUGGAAGGUGUGGCUGGAAAAACU
rnacentral:rRNA from 1 species